CAGUCGCCACGGGAAUACGAAGGGGGCUAGCGUUGUUCGGAUUUACUGGGCGUAAAGCGCACGUAGGCGGAUCCUUAAGUCAGAGGUGAAAUCCCAAGGCUCAACCUUGGAACUGCCUUUGAUACUGGGGAUCUCGAGUUCGGGAGAGGUGAGUGGAACUGCGAGUGUAGAGGUGAAAUUCGUAGAUAUUCGCAAGAACACCAGUGGCGAAGGCGGCUCACUGGCCCGAUACUGACGCUGAGGUGCGAAAGCGUGGGGAGCAAACAGGAUUAGAUACCCCUGUAGUCCCUGUCUCUUAUAC
rnacentral:rRNA from 1 species